rnacentral:tRNA from 1 species
AGUCUUAUAUUCAAUUAUGAUAUAAAAUUGCAAAUUUUAAGGUAUAUACAUAUCUAUAUUAAGGCUU